rnacentral:rRNA from 1 species
AGAGUUUGAUCCUGGCUCAGGAUGAUCGCUGGCGGCGUGCCUAAUACAUGCAAGUCGAACGAGGUUACUUCGGUAACCGAGUGGCGAACGGGUGAGUUACACAUAAACAAUCUGCCCUUGAGUCUGGGAUAACGGCUGGAAACGGCCGCUAAUACCGGAUAGGUAGAGAGGAGGCAUCUCCACUCUAUUAAAGCUGGGCUGCAGCGCUGAAGGAUGAGUUUAUGUCGCAUUAGCCAGUUGGCGGGGUAACGGCCCACCAAAGCUAUGAUGCGUAGCCGGUCUGAGAGGAUGAACGGCCACAUUGGGACUGAGACACGGCCCAGACUCCUACGGGAGGCAGCAGUAGGGAAUUUUCGGCAAUGGGGGAAACCCUGACCGAGCAACGCCGCGUGAACGAUGAAGGUUUUUGGAUUGUAAAGUUCUGUUACGAGGGAAGAAUGCCAGGCAUAGGGAAUGAUGUCUGGAGGGACGGUACCUCGCCAGAAAGCCACGGCUAACUAUGUGCCAGCAGCCGCGGUAAUACAUAGGUGGCAAGCGUUAUCCGGAAUUAUUGGGCGUAAAGGGUGCGUAGGCGGCUGUUUAAGUUUGUGGUGAAAGCGUAGAGCUCAACUCUAUUAAGCCACAAAAAACUGGGCAGCUAGAGUGCAGUAGAGGCAAGUGGAAUUCCAUGUGUAGCGGUAAAAUGCGUAGAUAUAUGGAGGAACACCAGUGGCGAAGGCGGCUUGCUGGGCUGUAACUGACGCUAAGGCACGAAAGCGUGGGGAGCAAAUAGGAUUAGAUACCCUAGUAGUCCACGCUGUAAACGAUGAAUACUAAGUGUAGGGGAAACUCUGUGCUGCAGCUAACGCAAUAAGUAUUCCGCCUGGGGAGUACGUUCGCAAGAAUGAAACUCAAAGGAAUUGACGGGGACCCGCACAAGCGGUGGAUUAUGUGGUUUAAUUCGACGCAACGCGAAGAACCUUACCAAGCCUUGACAUACCGAGCAAUGAUUCAGAGAUGAGUCGGAGGAUAUCUGGGAUACAGGUGGUGCAUGGUUGUCGUCAGCUCGUGUCGUGAGAUGUUGGGUUAAGUCCCGCAACGAGCGCAACCCUUGUCUUUAGUUACCAUCAUCAAGUUGGGGACUCUAGAGAGACUGCCGGUGACAAACCGGAGGAAGGUGGGGAUGACGUCAAAUCAGCAUGCCCCUUAUGGCUUGGGCUACACACGUAAUACAAUGGCGUAUACAAAGGGAGGCGAAAGGGCGACCUGGAGCAAAACUCAUAAAGUACGUCUCAGUUCGGAUUAGAGUCUGCAACUCGACUCUAUGAAGUUGGAAUCGCUAGUAAUCGUGGAUCAGCACGCCACGGUGAAUACGUUCUCGGGUCUUGCACACACCGCCCGUCA